rnacentral:rRNA from 1 species
CGCCUUGCCAGCCCGCUCAGAAACUUAAAGGAAUUGACGGGGCCCGGCACAAGCGGAGGAGCAUGUGGUUAAUUUCGAUGAUACGCGAGGAACCUUACCUGGGCUCGAACGUAAGAUGACUGUAGGUGAAAGCUUACAUCUCUUCGGAGCAUUUUACGAGGUGCUGCAUGGUUGUCGUCAGCUCGUGCCGUGAGGUGUCGGGUUAAGUCCCAUAACGAGCGCAACCCCUACCUUUAGUUGCCAUCAGGUUAAGCUGGGGACUCUAAAGGAACUGCCUACGCAAGUAGUGAGGAAGGCGGGGAUGACGUCAAAUCAGCACGGCCCUUACGUCCAGGGCUACACACGUGCUACAAUGGCCGAUACAGAGGGCAGCUACCUGGUGACAGGAUGCAAAUCUCCAAAGUCGGUCUCAGUUCGGAUCGGAGUCUGCAACCCGACUCCGUGAAGUUGGAUUCGCUAGUAAUCGCGCAUCAGCCAUGGCGCGGUGAAUACGUUCCCGGGCCUU